CUCCGGCUCGCUCAGUUCUGCUCGGCGCAGCGCAGCUCCGCAGCAGCCCUGCCGUAGCAGCCACUCGGUCCGCGCCGCUAGCGCCGGCUUCGAGCUCUCCCCGCUCUGCGUCCCGGGGCUGGCUCCGUUCGGGUUCUCUUGGAGCGGGGACCCCUUCGGGCAGGAGUCGCGUGGCGAGGCCGGGCGGACAGGGGCACAAAGUUGUGGAGCCGCGAAGAAAGAUGAGGCUGCCCCGGGGUCCGGCGCUGCUGGCCCUGGCGUUGCCCCUGGCCGUGGCGCUGGCCUUCUCCGACGAGACCCUGGACAAAGUGCCCAAGUCCGAAGGCUACUGCAGCCGCAUCCUGCGCGCCCAGGGCACGCGGCGCGAGGGCUACACAGAGUUCAGCCUCCGCGUGGAGGGCGACCCCGACUUCUACAAGCCGGGAACCAGCUACCGAGUGACCUUGUCAGCUGCCACUCCAUCCUAUUUCAGGGGGUUCACAUUAAUUGCCCUCAAGGAGAACAGAGAGGGUGACAAAGAAGAAGACCAUGCUGGGACCUUCCAGAUAAUAGAUGAAGAAGAAACACAAUUUAUGAGCAAUUGCCCUGUGGCGGUUACAGAGAGCACCCCAAGGAGGCGGACCCGGAUCCAGGUGUUCUGGAUUGCACCGCCAGCAGGAACAGGCUGUGUGAUUCUCAAGGCCAGUAUCGUACAGAAACGUAUCAUUUAUUUUCAAGAUGAGGGCUCGCUGACUAAGAAACUUUGUGAACAAGAUUCCACGUUUGAUGGAGUUACGGACAAACCCAUCUUAGACUGCUGUGCCUGUGGAACUGCCAAGUACAGACUCACGUUUUAUGGCAAUUGGUCUGAGAAGACACACCCGAAGGAUUAUCCUCGUCGGGCCAAUCAUUGGUCUGCAAUUAUUGGUGGAUCCCACUCCAAGAAUUAUGUACUUUGGGAGUACGGAGGCUAUGCAAGUGAAGGUGUCAAACAAGUUGCAGAAUUGGGCUCACCAGUGAAAAUGGAAGAAGAAAUUCGACAGCAGAGCGAUGAGGUUCUCACGGUCAUCAAAGCCAAAGCUCAGUGGCCAGCAUGGCAGCCUCUCAAUGUGAGAGCAGCACCCUCGGCUGAAUUCUCAGUGGACAGGACACGCCAUUUAAUGUCCUUCCUGACCAUGAUGGGUCCAAGUCCCGAUUGGAAUGUGGGCUUGUCUGCAGAGGAUCUGUGCACCAAGGAGUGUGGCUGGGUCCAGAAGGUGGUGCAAGACCUGAUUCCCUGGGAUGCCGGCACUGACAGUGGGGUGACCUAUGAGUCACCCAACAAACCCACAAUUCCUCAGGAGAAAAUCCGGCCCCUGACCAGUCUGGACCAUCCUCAGAGUCCUUUUUACGACCCAGAAGGAGGAUCCAUUACUCAAGUAGCCAGAGUUGUCAUCGAGAGAAUUGCCCGUAAGGGGGAACAGUGCAAUAUUGUACCUGACAAUGUGGAUGAUAUUGUAGCAGACCUUGCUCCAGAGGAGAAAGAUGAAGAUGACACCCCUGAAACCUGCAUCUACUCCAACUGGUCCCCAUGGUCCGCCUGCAGUUCCUCCACCUGUGAAAAAGGCAAAAGGAUGCGGCAGCGCAUGCUGAAGGCACAACUGGACCUUAGUGUCCCCUGUCCUGACACCCAGGACUUCCAACCCUGCAUGGGCCCAGGAUGCAGUGAUGAAGACGGCUCCACCUGCACGAUGUCAGAGUGGAUCACCUGGUCGCCCUGCAGCAUCUCCUGCGGCACGGGCAUGCGCUCCCGGGAGAGGUACGUGAAGCAGUUCCCAGAAGAUGGCUCCGUGUGCACGCUGCCCACCGAGGAGACAGAAAAGUGCACGGUCAAUGAAGAGUGCUCUCCCAGCAGCUGUCUGAUGACCGAGUGGGGCGAGUGGGACGAGUGCAGCGCCACCUGCGGGAUGGGCAUGAAGAAGCGCCACCGCAUGAUCAAGAUGAGCCCAGCUGAUGGCUCUAUGUGCAAGGCGGAGAUAUCCCAGGCCGAGAAGUGCAUGAUGCCCGAGUGCCAUACAAUCCCAUGCUUGCUGUCCCCAUGGUCCGAAUGGAGCGAUUGCAGCGUGACCUGUGGGAAGGGAAUGAGGACCCGCCAGCGGAUGCUCAAGUCUCUUGCUGAACUGGGAGACUGUAAUGAGGAACUGGAGCAGGUGGAGAAAUGUAUGCUGCCAGAAUGUCCUAUUGACUGCGAGCUCAGCGAGUGGUCCCAGUGGUCAGAAUGUAAUAAGUCGUGCGGAAAAGGCCACAUGAUUCGAACCCGGGUGAUCCAAAUGGAGCCCCAGUUUGGAGGCGCCCCCUGCCCCGAGACGAUACAGAGAAAAAAGUGCCGCGUGCGCAAAUGUCUCCGCAAUCAGUCCAUCCAGAAGCUGCGCUGGAGGGAGGCGAGGGAGAGCCGAAGGAGCGAGCAGCUGCGGGAAGAAGCUGAUGGAGAGCAGUUCCCAGGCUGUAGGAUGCGCCCCUGGACGGCCUGGUCAGAAUGCACCAAACUGUGUGGCGGUGGGAUUCAGGAACGCUAUAUGACUGUAAAGAAGAGGUUCAAAAGCUCCCAGUUUACCAGCUGCAAAGACAAGAAGGAGAUCAGAGCCUGCAAUGUUCACCCUUGUUAGCGAGAGUCCAGGUUUCCCAGGGCUGUGCUCGAGAUUCCAGAGUCCCCAGUGGUUGGAUUGUUUUGCUUGUUUGUUUAAGGCAAUUUUAAAUGUGUACACUAGAAUUCAUUUCUAUACUAUGAUGCACCCAAUUGUCUGUGGAUGCCAGGGACAUCCUUUCUUGGCAUACUUCUUGGUUGGUUCAGGCCAAGUGGUACCCUCUACCAAUAUGAAACGAAUAAAUGUCCCUCUAAAGCACUCACCUGGACUGUAGGGCCAAGACCCUGGCCUCUUUCCCCACGAGAGGCAGCUACAUCUCUGCCCCUUAGUUUCAUGAUCAACAAGGAGUGAAUAUUCUUCAUCAUAUCAGGAGAUUCCACUUAAAUGAUUGUCCAGCUCCUUUCAUUUUAGUGGAGGGAUUCUCAACCUUAUUUGGCCUACAGCUAGCCCCCUUUUCAGAAAACAGUAACAAUAAAUACCCACUCAGCAGUCUCUCUCUCCCAUCACACCUUCUUUUAGCAAGCAAGCAGAAGGGAACCCACAAUUGCAUCAAAAUUGGUUGUAACCCACUUUGGGAACUGAUUUUGUAGAAUGAUAGUUCUUGUUGAGUCUCUUUGGUCAUUAGUAGUUCUUGGGGAAAUAAUGCUGGUAGAUAUGAAGGUCAGCAUGGAUGCUGGUUGGCAUUUCUUUAUUCAAAGAGAAAUUCUGAAUCUAUUUAUAUCAUGGCUCGUUAAUGUGUAGGAGGCUGUGGGUUCUUACAUAGGAAGAAGAGUAACUUUUGUGAAGUACUUUCCCUCUUUGGUAAUAAUUCUAAUCUGCCAGGUUCUUCUGAGCCUUUUGUUUUAACUGAGCUGCUUCCUGGAAUCAAAGCCAAGACAGCAACCCUGGCCUCUAGCAAUCCUAAAUCCAGAGCUUUUUGAAUUUCUGACAUACACUGAGACUUUUAAGUUUUAAACCCAUCUUUAAAGAGAAAACAUUUUUUGUGUGAUGAAAACAUUUGCUAAGUCUGCUCAUAGCUCAACAAACCAUUGCUUUAACAAAAAACACUUUAUAUUUGACGAUUAGGUUUUUAAUUUUUUUCAGCUAUAAAUUUUUCUAUUUAGAGAAAAAAAGUAUUUCAGAGAUGAUGAAAGAAAAAAUCCAGAAAGGAAGGACAGAAUCAAGCUGGGCAAGAAAAUAUAAGUCUCACUUGGAGAAGUCUGACCUAUCCAUGCUGGGGUUCAUCCCAGGGAUCAAUCUUCUAGCAUAGCCCAUUAGCACCCCAUCCAAUAACUCAAAAGCACACCAAAUUCAGGGAGACUGAUGACCAAGAACUAGUGUAGAAGGACAUUUGACUGAGUUGAUAUCUCAGUGUUUUAUUCAUUUACUUGUUAAAACUGUUUCUUUUCUGUUGUAGGUCUUCUUUACUAUGCUUAAUCCAAAUAUAUAUCAUGGAUGAGAUGCAAACAAUGUUCUGGAUACUAAGAAUUCUUACUCAACACAUCAGUUUAUUUCAAACUAUAUAUUGUUUGAAAGUUAGUGUGUGUAUAUACAUAUAUAUAUACGCAAACAUAUAUAUGUAUAUACACACACACUACUGUCUGGAAUAUGUAUUCUUUUCUUUAAUUAAUGAAAGACUGUUCAAUAAAAAAAAAUGCACUGGGUCUGUCUUUUGUGUUUGUGAACUAGUUAAGAGUUCAGUAGAUUGGGCACUUUUUUAAAAUAGUCACCUCAAUCAGAUGCAGCCAAGGAUAAGGGGAUUUUGCUCCCUGGCUCUGGAAUUGCCAUUAUUACACAGCCCUGAGCUCUUUUGAGCUUUCCAUUUCUCGCUUUCUUUUUUAAAUCCUUAGAUGAAUUGGCUUCUCUGCCACCACACAAGAAUUUAAUGAAGAAAAACUGAAAUUCAAAAAGAGGUCCCAAUGUAGAAUCUGCUCACUUUGGCAAUAUCACUCUCAACUACUAACAGCAUAUUUACUCCCAAUCCAUGAAAAGUCAAGAGUUCUGUCAAUGGUGAUUUCUAAGUCACUUUAAGGACAAGUACUCUAGUGUCUCCUGUUCCUAUUUGGUUCCUAUUAGGUAAAUUUUAACCCUAAUUCUGGAGACUCAAAACAAGGUAACUAGUUAAUGGCUGAUCAUGAGUAACAUGAUUCUUGUUACGUAAGUGCUAUUUUUUGUUUUGUUUGCAAGUGGGAGUUUAUAAGAAAUGUCAAAUCUCUUUCUUACCAAAGUCUUCUGUUAGGUUGUUUGUAGUUUUUUCUGGCUAACCAAUCAUUUUGGAAAUAAAGACUUUUACUACAAAAUAAAAA